AACGAACGCUGGCGGCAUGCCUAACACAUGCAAGUCGAACGAACCCUCCGGGGUUAGUGGCGCACGGGUGCGUAACGCGUGGGAAUCUGCCCUUGGCUUCGGAAUAACAGUUAGAAAUGACUGCUAAUACCGGAUGAUGUCUUCGGACCAAGGAUUUAUCGGCCAGGGAUGAGCCCGCGUAGGAUAGGUAGUUGGUGGGGUAAAGGCCUACCAAGCCGACGAUCCUUAGCUGGUCUGAGAGGAUGAUCAGCCACACUGGGACUGAGAAACGGCCCAGACUCCUACGAGAGGCAGCAGUGGGGAAUAUUGGACAAUGGGCGCAAGCCUGAUCCAGCAAUGCCGCGUGAGUGAUGAAGGCCUUAGGGUCGUAAAGCUCUUUUACCCGGGAUGAUAAUGACAGUACCGGGAGAAUAAGCUCCGGCUAACUCCGUGCCAGCAGCCGCCGUAA
rnacentral:rRNA from 1 species